CAAUAGCGUAUAUUAAAGUUGUUGCGGUUAAAAGCUCGUAGUUGGAUUUCUGCCGAGGACGACCGGUCCGCCCUCUGGGUGAGCAUCUGGCUCGGCCUGGGCAUCUUCUUGGAGAACGUAUCUGCACUUGACUGUGUGGUGCGGUAUCCAGGACUUUUACUUUGAGGAAAUUAGAGUGUUCACGGCAGGCGUUCGCCUUGAAUAUGUUAGCAUGGAAUAAUAAUAUAAGACCUCGGUUUUAUUUUGUUGGUUUCUAGAAGCGGGGUAAUGAUUAAUAGGGACAAUUGGGGUAGUUCGAAUUAACGACGUCAGAGGUGGAAUUCUUGGAUUGCGUUACGACGAACUACUGCGAAAGACAUUUACCAAGGAUGUUUUCUAUUGUAUCAAGAACGAAAGUUCAGGGGAUCGAAGACGAUUAGAUACCAU
rnacentral:rRNA from 1 species